rnacentral:rRNA from 1 species
CCUGGUAGUGGGGGACAACGUUUCGAAAGGAACGCUAAUACCGCAUACGUCCUACGGGAGAAAGCAGGGGACCUUCGGGCCUUGCGCUAUCAGAUGAGCCUAGGUCGGAUUAGCUAGUUGGUGAGGUAAUGGCUCACCAAGGCGACGAUCCGUAACUGGUCUGAGAGGAUGAUCAGUCACACUGGAACUGAGACACGGUCCAGACUCCUACGGGAGGCAGCAGUGGGGAAUAUUGGACAAUGGGCGAAAGCCUGAUCCAGCCAUGCCGCGUGUGUGAAGAAGGUCUUCGGAUUGUAAAGCACUUUAAGUUGGGAGGAAGGGUUGUACGUUAAUACCGUGCAAUUUUGACGUUACUGACAGAAUAAGCACCGGCUAACUCUGUGCCAGCAGCCGCGGUAAU